rnacentral:lncRNA from 1 species
GUGGCUGAGGUGCAGCAUCUGGAGCUCUCCUGCCUUCACCAUGGUGUCACCCAAGUGCUCGGCUGUGUCCCAUGGGAAGGUGCAGCCGCUGGGCGGGCGGGAGCGGCGGCUGCGGAUGGACAACAGGACUGUGAGCAGCCUUUGUGGUGGUCUCCACACUGUGACCCAUUGGACCUUGUCUAUCGGCAGCCACAGCCUUCGUAAAGCACUUCCACCGCAGCACAUCUCCAAACCAGGGAGAGGAAAGUGCUUGCUCUUGAUGAACAUUCCCGUUUGAACCCAA